rnacentral:rRNA from 1 species
GAUCCUGGCUUAGGAUGAACGCUGGCGGCGUGCUUAACACAUGCAAGUCGAACGAAGCCAAAAGGAAGCUUGCUUUCUUGAAGCUUAGUGGCGGACGGGUGAGUAACGCGUGAGUAACCUGCCCUUCAGUGGGGAAUAACACAGAGAAAUCUGUGCUAAUACCGCAUAACGUCUUCUUGCCGCAUGACAGGAAGACCAAAGGAUUUAUUCGCUGAAGGAUGGACUCGCGUCCGAUUAGCUAGUUGGUGAGGUAACGGCCCACCAAGGCGACGAUCGGUAGCCGAACUGAGAGGUUGAUCGGCCACAUUGGGACUGAGACACGGCCCAGACUCCUACGGGAGGCAGCAGUGGGGAAUAUUGGGCAAUGGGCGAAAAAGCCUGACCCAGCAACGCCGCGUGAAGGAAGACGGUCUUCGGAUUGUAAACUUCUUUGAUUGGGGAAGAAACAAAUGACCUACCCAAAGAACAAGUCACGGCUAACUACGUGCCAGCAGCGGC